AUCCAAAUGUGCCCCCGCGCCAUCCGCACCCAGCUGACGAUUGCUCGCUACGUUGUGUUAGCC
rnacentral:sRNA from 1 species